rnacentral:rRNA from 1 species
AUUGAACGCUGGCGGCAUGCCUUACACAUGCAAGUCGAACGGCAGCGGACCUUCGGGUGCCGGCGAGUGGCGAACGGGUGAGUAAUAUAUCGGAACGUACCUUUCAGUGGGGGAUAACGUAGCGAAAGUUACGCUAAUACCGCAUAUUCUGUGAGCAGGAAAGCAGGGGAUCGCAAGACCUUGCGCUGAUUGAGCGGCCGAUAUCAGAUUAGCUAGUUGGUGAGGUAAGGACUCACCAAGGCGACGAUCUGUAGCGGGUCUGAGAGGAUGAUCCGCCACACUGGAACUGAGACACGGUCCAGACUCCUACGGGAGGCAGCAGUGGGAAUUUUGGACAAUGGGCGCAAGCCUGAUCCAGCCAUGCCGCGUGAGUGAAGAAGGCCU